GCCGCUGGGCAUGUCGAAGGCAGCCGACUCGUAAUGCGUAGGUCGACGGUUCGAUUCCGUCAGGCGGCU
rnacentral:tRNA from 1 species